GUUUUGGAUGGGAUCAAACCAGCUACCUCAAGCCUCUGCUGCUGUGAGUCCUUGGAUGUGAUGGAUUGUAACCUGGAGCCAAAGUAAACCAUUCUCCUCUAAGCUGCUUUUGAUGGUUUUGUUUGUGGUUUUGUUCUUGUUUUUGUUUUUAUCACAACAUAUAGUAAAGAAGCCAAUGCAGACCCAGUGAAGGAGUUUAAUCUCUAACAGAAGACUCCUAUAAUUUUUUUUUCACAUAGAAUCUCCCCAUCAUCCCCUCUCUCCAGGGUCUCCUUAUGGAAUUGGCCUCAAACUCUUCAUCUAGCCCAGAGUGACUUCAAAAUCACUGUAUAGACCAGGCUGACCCCAAAAUCACAGCCCUUCUGCUUCUACCUAUGGAGUGUGGAGAGCACAGGCAUGUACCACAACCUUCUCAGCUAAUGUGGGGCAAGAACUUUGCAUUUAGAACUUCAAUCCCCACUGGAUAAUCUUCAGUGGCAGGAGAUGAGUUCUUAUGGAGAAUUUCUUCUCUGACGUAGAGAGCAAGGCCAGUCUUUUAAAACCAAGCAGAGACUGGGGCUGGUGCUAAGAAGUGGACCAUGCUUACCCCUAUUGUUGAAUCACCAGCCCAAAGAAAGAAAGAAAGAAUAAAACAAACUCCAAUUAGAGUUGCUUCCAUUUUCAGCCCCAGUGUUUGUUUCUGUUUUUGACCUGGUUAGAUAAGUGAACCAUUGAUAUGCAUGGGAAGUCUAAGCAGAGAUCUCCACCUCCUGGGGCUCCUGUGAAAGUUCAGUUAAACACUAUGUAUGAAAUCAGUUUUUUUUUGGUCUGUGUUGUGGGAUUCUGUGGGCUGUUCAUUCCACCUUAGACUUCUGAAUAUCAAGUGUGAGUGCUGGAGAGAAAGCAAAGGACAUGUUAUCCAGAACAGCAGGCACCUGCAAUUCUAGUUUCAUCAUUUCUAUUGCUAAGAGAAAACACUCCAAGUAAAAGCAACUUUAAGAAGAGAAAGUUUACUUGCUUUAUAUGUCUAGGUCACAGAUCAUAAUUGAGAGUCAUCAAGGCAGGAACUCAAGAUUGGAACCUGAAGAUAGCAGUGUUUGCUUUUCCACACUAUACAACCUAUGACCAAGGAAUUCUACAAUCAAAUAAGUGUGUCAGAAACUAUGAAGGUCAAUCCUUGCUAGCUCACUCAUAGGCUCAUAAUUAGGUGGCUUUCUUAUACAAUUCAGAAGUGCUUGCCUAGGGAAUGGUACUGCCCAUGGUGGGCUGGAUCUUCCUAUAUCAAUUGAUAAUCAAGACAAUCCCUCCACGGGAAUACCUACAGAUCAACCUGGAAAGACAAUCCCUCAUUUGUGUCAGGUUGACAGUUAAGAACAAUUAGUACCAUCCUCACCCAGGACUGCUCAUAAUUAUGACACAUACAAGAAAGAAUACCUUAAAGAGGAGAUUUCUUUUGACUUAUGUUUUCAUCUGUGGUUAUCUUGGUACAUUGCUGUGGCUUGUGAUAAGACAGGGCAUAAUGGCUGCAUGAGUGUCUAAUAAAACACAGCUACUUAAUUCGUGGUGUUCAUUUCAUGCCAGGGGUCAAGAUUUUCCCUUCAAAAGGGACUCCAGUGACUCAAUUCCCCUCAGUACACUUUACCGUCCACAGUUCCAUCACUUUCCAUAGUCUGUUCAAAAUUUGAAUCCAUCAAUAGAUUGAACUAUUGAUUAGCCCAGAGCCCUCCUGAUAUAAUCAUCUUUGGACAGUCUCAAAGACACUCUCAGGGUUGACUUUUCUAAGCUCACUUGUCUCCAAGAAAUUUAAGAGAUCCAUCAAGAUCAUACAGCUCUGAAAGAAGAUCUAACUCCAGAGCCGAGUGUACUACAAGGUUACGAUGUGUCUGCUUAAUUGGCUUUUCCAAGAGUCCUUAAGAGUGCUAAAGACUGAUUCUGAAGUUGGCCAAACAUCUUCCAAAAUAUCCUGUUAUGGGGAAGAUAUUUGUGGGUUCCAGCCACCAUGAAUGAGGCUCAUGCUCUUCCGAGACAUCCCAUCCAGUUCCCUCAUCCAUUCUGUUAGGCGAGGGAAGAAACAAGAUGCAAUCAAAGAGCCAGAAAGCAGGCUCUUGUCCAACACCAAAUCCCUCAAAGACUUGAUUCAUCCUCAAAUUUCUAGCCUUUCUGUUGUCUUUAAGCCACAUAGUCUGAAGUUUUAUGAUACAGUUUCUCACAGUCACCAACCUAACCACCUACAUUCAAAAUGGACCAUAAAGGGGAGGGAGCUAGAAAGAUAGUUCAGCACUUAAGAGCUCUUGUUGCUCUUAACAGAGGAUUGGAGCUUGGUUCCCAGCACUCACAGGGGGGCACACACAGCCAUCUAUAACUCCAGUUUCAAAGAUAUUCAAUGUCCUCUUCUGGUCUCUGUGGGUUCCUGAAUGCAUAUUGUGCACAUAAAGUCAUGCAGGCAUAUAUACACAUACAUGUAAAUAAGAGAAAGUAAAUAUUUAAAAUGAGCUGUAAGGGGCUGAAGAUAUUGCCCAGUAGGUAAAAUGCUUGCCACGUAAGUGUGGGGACCUGAGUUCCAUCUCCAGCACUCAUGGCAUUUGCAGCACUGGGGAGACAGGAGUAGGUCUCUGGGACUCGCUGGCCAGUCAGUCUGGCUUAAUUGGUGAUGUCCAGUGAAAGACCCUUUCUCAGAAACCCAAGGUGGACAUGCCUAAGGAAUCACACCUGAAUCUGGCCUCUGACUUCUAAUGAGCACACAUGUGCACAAGUAUAUAUCUAUU
rnacentral:lncRNA from 1 species